rnacentral:rRNA from 1 species
GCGACGCCGCGUGCGGGAUGAAGGCCUCGGUUGUAACGCUGUCGUAGGGGACAAAUGUACGGGGGUACUCCCCUGUAUUUGAGUGAUCCUAGGAGGAAGGAGAGGCUAAGCUCGUGCCAGCAGCCGCGGUAAGACGAGCUCUCCAAACGUUAUUCGGUAUCACUGGGCUUAAAGAGUUCGUAGGCGGCCUAGCAGGUCAGGUGUGAAAAUCCCACAGCUCAACUGUGGAAUAGCGCUUGAAACCGUUAGGCUUGAGGGAGAUAGAGGUAGGCGGAACAGAUGGUGGAGCGGUGAAAUGCGUUGAUAUCAUCUGGAACACCGGUGGCGAAAGCGGCCUACUGGGUCUUUUCUGACGCUGAGGAACGAAAGCUAGGGUAGCGAACGGGAUUAGAUACCCCGGUAGUCCUAGCCGUAAACGAUGAGCACUAGUCCGAGGGAACCCUCACAUUUUCUCGGACGUAGCGAAAGUGUUAAGUGCUCCGCCUGGGGGAGUAUGGUCGCAAGGCUGAAACUCAAAGGAAUUGACGGGG